rnacentral:rRNA from 1 species
UACGUAGGGUGCAAGCGUUGACCGGAAUUAUUGGGCGUAAAGAGCUCGUAGGCGGUUUGUCGCGUCUGCUGUGAAAACCCGAGGCUCAACCUCGGGCCUGCAGUGGGUACGGGCAGACUAGAGUGCGGUAGGGGAGAUUGGAAUUCCUGGUGUAGCGGUGGAAUGCGCAGAUAUCAGGAGGAACACCGGUGGCGAAGGCGGUUCUCUGGGCAUUACCUGACGCUGAGGAGCGAAAGUGUGGGGAGCGAACAGG